rnacentral:misc_RNA from 1 species
UUAGUCAAAUGUCAUGAUAAAUAAAUAAGAAAGGGAGAAAACGUAAAAUUUGGGCCCUAGGCCCAAAUUCUGCUGCUGCAGUUUUUAGGGCCUUUAGGCCUAUUUUCUUUCCAAAGUCAUGAUACAUUUUGAGUGUAUAUUCUAUGUAUAAGCUGUGUAUAUUGACAAGUUUUGCGCUCCUGAACCUGCUAUUUCAACCAAAACUUUGUAUUUUUGCGUUUUUAAUUUCCUGGCCACGUUUUCCAACUGCAUAUUGUAUAUUCACAUUGUAUACCAGUGUAUAUGGUCUGUACAUCGACCUAUUUUUUCGGCUUUUCGGGGACCUGCAAAUUAAUUCCCAGCAACAAAUUUGCUGAUUUUGAUCUGUACACCAGUUAUAACGGGAUGGACGACUCGGAUACGGUGGUGUGAGCCUUUACGUCUCGAUGAGAGGAUGCAAAUGGAUGAAGUAAAGUCCGUAAGGACCCAAAGAAAUUUUUUACAUGCAAG